UGUACAAUUGUGUGCGUGUUUUUCUACUCUGUUCUGCGUUCUUGUCCCUAUGUCGGGUAGCAUGAGUUACAGUCAGGUGUCCAAACAGCUUGUGACCUAUCACGGCGACUCAGACGAGGAGGACGCGAACUCGAAGGCAAAAUUCAGUGACGACAGCGAACCGGACAAUUCCGAAGUCGCGUCGGCCAGCGCGAGUCCGAUUCUCUCAUCCGGAGGUCUCGUGCAAUUCCAACGCAGUUCGAGCGCAUCGACGUCAUUGCUGAGGAAUGUACUCGUAAGGACCCGGAUACAGGCUGCUCCCGUUGUGUCAUUGGUCUCUUACGCGCGGGAGGGCGAUGAUUCAGGUAGUGAGAGUGAAGAUGAAAUGGCGGGAAAAGUGAUGUUAGUGGUGCUGCUCAUAUGAUUGGGGACAUUAUGACGGGUGUGAAGCCUGCAUUGGCUGAAGGGAGGCCAAUGGAACCGAUGGCUGACGAUAGAGAUGGUGCAGGAAGAUAUCAGUUUUUGUCCGAGGUGCUUUGUUGGCGAGCACAAACGACUCCAGAUUACAUACUCUUUAUGUUACUGAAUGAAAAGGGUGCUGUAGCGCAAACUAUGACCUGCCUGCAGUUCAUGAAGAAAGCAGAGAGAAUUGGAGCUGCUUGCUUGGAGAGAGCAAACUUGAGCUCAUGAGACCACGUAACUCUUCUUUAAAUUAUCCUCCAGGUAUCGAGCUUGUUGUUGCUUUCUAUGGCUGCCUUCUUGUCGGUCUCAUUCCCGUUCCCGUGCGACCUCUAUCUCCAUUGAACAUCGCAACGACAUUACCAACAGUCAAAAUGAUCGUCGAAGUCAGCAAUUCAGUUGCCAUUCUAACAAUUCAACGUAUCACCAAACUGUUAAGGGCAAAAGAGGCUACCAGCACACUCGACGUGAAGUCUCUCCCACCUAUUCUUGAGACGGAUGAUCCACAGAAGAGGAAGCUUGACAAGUUUUAUCGUGUACCAACACCAGAGAUGAUUGCAUACUUGGAUUUCAGUGUUUCAACCACCGGUGUGCUCUCAGGAGUCAAAAUGUCUCAUCCAGCUUGUGACUUUUCACGGCAACUCAGACGAGGAGGACGCGAAUUCGAAGACAAAAAUCAGUUACGACAGCGAACCGGACAAUUCUGAAGUCGCAUCAGCCAGCGGGAGUCUGAUUCUCUUGUCUGGAGGUCUCGUGCAGUUCCAACACAGUUUGAGCGCUUCGACAUCAUUGCUGAGGAAUGUGCUCAUAAGGACCCGGAUACAGGCGGCUCCCGUUGUGUCAUUGGUCUCUUACGCGCGGGAGGGCGAUGACUCAGGCAGUGAGAGUGAAGAUGAAAUGACGGAAAAAUGUCCAACGACCAUCCCACAAGUCACAUUCUCUAUCCACUUCAAGAUGACUUCGAAGGUACAUCCCCAUUCAGUAGCGACUCUCCCCUCCCCCCAGGGGCACCAACCACCGACAACCCGACAAAAUCCCACCGUCCACCUCGCGUCAACCUACCACCGGCUCCUUCCAGACAAUGUAAACCCGAGUUACAAUCCAAGAUAACUAAUUUAUUGAAAAAGCAAAGACAGAGAAACAUACGACUGAACGAGAGCGUACAGAAACGGAAAGACUUCCACAAUCCAAGUUUUUAUGAAAAACUCGUCAGUCAGGCUGUCGAGGUCAUUUUUCUGCCUGUAAGUUUGUUUGUCCGUCUGUCUGAACAUAUGCCUGAUGAUCACUACGUGGAUGGUGGACAAACAUCUCUAGACUCUAUACAAUAUAGAUUGGCUUUUGUGGUCUGUUAAACAGCCUUAGUUUGGACUGUAUAGAAAAAUUGUAUCCAAGUUAAGAUCCUCUUACAUUAGAUCUGCAAGACAAUCCCUCAUAUGUUUUUUGCAAUCUGGUGCAACAAAC